rnacentral:misc_RNA from 1 species
AACUGAUACUACCUGCGGGAACCUGCGGAGGGAUCAUUAUCUAUGACAUCGGGUGUGGUUGCGGCCCUCGGGGCGUAAGCCCUGGGUGGUAGAGGUAAUACUCUCACGCGCCACAUGUCUGAAUCCUUUUUUUACGAGCACCUUUCGUUCUCCUUCGGUGGGGCAACCUGCCGUUGGAACUCAUCAAAACUCUUUUUGCAUCUAGCAUUACCUGUUCUGAUACAAACAAUCGUUACAACU